GAGGGUAUAGCUCAAAUGGUAGAGUGCGUGCUUAGCAUAUAGGAAGUUCUGGGUUCAACCCCCAGUACCUACA
rfam:Camelus ferus unplaced genomic scaffold scaffold811, whole genome shotgun sequence.